rnacentral:rRNA from 1 species
UACGUAGGGUGCGAGCGUUAAUCGGAAUUACUGGGCGUAAAGUGUGCGCAGGCGGCCGAGCAAGUCGAGUGUGAAAGCCCCGAGCUUAACUUGGGAACUGCGCUCGAAACUACUUGGCUAGAGUGUGGCAGAGGGAGGUGGAAUUCCACGUGUAGCGGUGAAAUGCGUAGAGAUCCGGAGGAACACCAGUGGCGAAGGCGACACGCUGGGCCAUACCUGACGCUAAAGCGCGACAGCAUGGGGAGCAAACGGG